rnacentral:rRNA from 1 species
UCUCCUGGAAACGGGUGGUAAUGCCGGAUGUUCCACAUGAGCGCAUGCGAGUGUGGGAAAGGCUUUUUGCGGCAUGGGAUGGGGUCGCGUCCUAUCAGCUUGUUGGUGGGGUAACGGCCUACCAAGGCGUUGACGGGUAGCCGGCCUGAGAGGGCGACCGGCCACAUUGGGACUGAGAUACGGCCCAGACUCCUACGGGAGGCAGCAGUGGGGAAUAUUACACAAUGGGCGCAAGCCUGAUGCAGCGACGCCGCGUGCGGGAUGGAGGCCUUCGGGUUGUAAACCGCUUUUGUUCAAGGGCAAGGCACGGUUUCGGCCGUGUUGAGUGGAUUGUUCGAAUAAGCACCGGCUAACUACGUGCCAGCAGCCGCGGUAAUACGUAGGGUGCAAGCGUUAUCCGGAUUUAUUGGGCGUAAAGGGCUCGUAGGCGGUUCGUCGCGUCCGGUGUGAAAGUCCAUCGCUUAACGGUGGAUCCGCGCCGGGUACGGGCGGGCUUGAGUGCGGUAGGGGAGACUGGAAUUCCCGGUGUAACGGUGGAAUGUGUAGAUAUCGGGAAGAACACCA